rnacentral:rRNA from 1 species
CAUUUUGACGUUUAGCUGCAGAAAGAAGCACCGGCUAACUCCGUGCCAGCAGCCGCGGUAAUACGGGAGGGUGCGAGCGUUAAUCGGAAUUACUGGGCGUAAAGCGCAUGCAGGUGGUUUGUUAAGUCAGAUGUGAAAGCCCGGGGCUCAACCUCGGAAUUGCAUUUGAAACUGGCAAACUAGAGUACUGUAGAGGGGGGUAGGAAUUUCAGGUGUAGCGGUGAAAUGCGUAGAGAUCUGAAGGAAUACCGGUGGCGAAGGCGGCCCCCUGGACAGAUACUGACACUCAGAUGCGAAAGCGUGGGGAGCAAACAGGAUUAGAUACCCUGGUAG